rnacentral:tRNA from 1 species
GCAGAUAUAAGCCUAAUUGGUAAGGCAACGCUUUGCUAAAGCGUUAGUAACCGGCAACGGUGUAUAGGUUCAAAUCCUAUUAUCUGCG